GCUGUUGUCCUGUGAAGCUGGUGCUGCUCCGUGGUCAGUCUCACCGGGAAAGGUGUACUGAGGUUCCACCAACCACAACCCUCUCCCGUGUGCUAGAUACAGUAGGGAAUAUCUCCUCGCAGUCGGUGAGCCAGUAGCCAGUGAGUGCGAGAGAGACAGUAAAUACAGUGCAUGGGAACGUGCAACACACUAGAGAAGUUAUCCUGUGUGUGUGGGUUCUGCGGUUUUCUCAGCUUAAGUCAACAAGAUCUAUUGAGCCGUAGACUACGACACGGAAGAGGAGCUCACUGUGUCGCAUUAAAAUCACACCUUUUUCUGUGAGUAAUGCUAAUUUGGAGA